rfam:Camelus ferus unplaced genomic scaffold scaffold1713, whole genome shotgun sequence.
GGAGGUAUAGCUCAGUGGUAGAGUGUGUGCUUAGCAUGCACAAGGUCCUGGGUUCAAUCCCCAGUACCUCCA